CAGUCGCCACGGGAAUACGAAGGGUGCAAGCGUUACUCGGAAUUACUGGGCGUAAAGCGUGCGUAGGUGGUGGUUUAAGUCCGUUGUGAAAGCCCUGGGCUCAACCUGGGAAUUGCAGUGGAUACUGGGUCACUAGAGUGUGGUAGAGGAUAGUGGAAUUUCCGGUGUAGCAGUGAAAUGCAUAGAGAUCGGAAGGAACAUCUGUGGCGAAGGCGACUAUCUGGGCCAACACUGACACUGAGGCACGAAAGCGUGGGGAGCAAACAGGAUUAGAUACCCGAGUAGUCCCUGUCUCUUAUAC
rnacentral:rRNA from 1 species